rnacentral:lncRNA from 1 species
AGGAUUAUGUUAGGGUUAAUUUUAGUAUAAAUAGGUUAGUCUAGUUAAUGUAAAGGGGGUUGGAAAAAAAGAAAAAGUUAACAAAAGGCAAAAAAAAAAAAAGAGAGAAAAGAAACUAGAGAAAGUAAGAGAGAAGGAGAAGAGCUCAUAGGAGAAGUGAUCCGGUGCAGCCAACCUCACAGUAGGCAUCGUGAGCUUUCCGUGUAGUCAAUAGAGUUGCGCCUUGUGGCACACUGGUCAACGAAUCCCCUUGACCACCAACGCUGGCCAAUCGCAGAGUGACACAUAAGCGGGUGCAAACUUCCCCGUGCAGACGUGUCACACAGGAUCCAGGACUCUCCAAGCCAGCAUUUGUUCACGUGUGGCCGUGUGUAUCAUAAACACCGUGCACCCACUGUGUAAAUAGAUCUGGUUGCGACACGUCGGACGCCCACCACCCUUUCAUGUGCGAGACUGUAGCGGAUCAAUCCCUCUACCAGCUCUGUUCCAGUACAUGUGCGUACAUUCCAGACGCGGUGCACCUUCAGGAGUAGCUAGUAAGAUUCAGCCACGUGGCGCUCCUGCAC